rnacentral:tRNA from 1 species
GGGAUGUUAGCUCAGCAGCAAAGUGCCUGCCUAGAAUGCAGGAGGCACUGGGUUUCAUCCCCAACAUGCCA